rnacentral:rRNA from 1 species
GACGAACGCUGGCGGCGUGCUUAACACAUGCAAGUGGAGCGACGAACCAGGGCUUGCCCUGGGGCAAAGCCGCGAACGGGUGAGUAACACGUGGGUAACCUGCCCUGAUGAUUGGGACAACCCGAGGAAACUCGGGCUAAUACCAAAUGUGCUCUUCGACCUUAAGGUCGUCGAGGAAAGGAAGCUUCGGCCUCCGCAUCGGGAUGGGCCCGCGGCCCAUUAGCUUGUUGGUGGGGUAACGGCCUACCAAGGCGACGAUGGGUAGCUGGUCUGAGAG